UACGAAGGGGGCUAGCGUUGUUCGGAAUUACUGGGCGUAAAGGGCGCGUAGGCGGGUUUCCAAGUCGGGGGUGAAAUUCCAGGGCUCAACCCUGGGACGGCCUUCGAUACUGGGAGCCUGGAGAUCGGGAGAGGUGAGUGGAAUUCCGAGUGUAGAGGUGAAAUUCGUAGAUAUUCGGAGGAACACCAGAAGCGAAGGCGGCUCACUGGCCCGAGACUGACGCUGAGGCGCGAAAGCGUGGGGAGCAAACAGG
rnacentral:rRNA from 1 species